AACCCUACGGGGGGCAGCAGUGGGGAAUAUUGCACAAUGGGCGCAAGCCUGAUGCAGCGACGCCGCGUACGGGAUGGAGGCCUUCGGGUUGUAAACCGCUUUUGUUCAGGGGCAAGGCACGGUCUUUGGCCGUGUUGAGUGGAUUGUUCGAAUAAGCACCGGCUAACUACGUGCCAGCAGCCGCGGUAAUACGUAGGGUGCAAGCGUUAUCCGGAUUUAUUGGGCGUGAAGGGCUCGUAGGCGGUUCGUCGCGGCCGAUGUGAAAGCCCGUCGC
rnacentral:rRNA from 1 species